GGGGUGGUGGUCUAACUUGGUAUGAUUCGUGGUUCGGGGCCACGAGGUUGGGAGUUCAAAUCUUCUCCACCCCA
rnacentral:tRNA from 1 species